UCUCCGUAGGUGAACCUGCGGAGGGAUCAUUACUGAGUGAGGGCUUCGGUCCGACCUCCAACCCUUUGUGAACCAAACUUGUUGCUUCGGGGUCGCCCCUCCCGCUUCGGCGGUGCGGCGCCCCCGGAGGCCAUUAAACACUGCAUCAUGGCGUCGGAGUUAAAGUAAAUUAAACAAAACUUUCAACAACGGAUCUCUUGGUUCCAGCAUCGAUGAAGAACGCAGC
rnacentral:misc_RNA from 1 species